rnacentral:lncRNA from 1 species
AUUUUGACGCUCCAAUUUUAAUUUAUCAUAAUUUUUUAUUUAAAUUUUUUGAAUUAUGAUAAUCAAAUUUUACAAUCUAAUCUAGUUAGUUAAAUAUUAAUAAAUUAUUAAUGUAAAAGUAAAAAUAAAUGUAUUGAUAAUAAUUAAGAUAAUUUGUUAAAUUUAGCUAAAUAAAGUGGGAUAUUGGACUUGAUUGCAACAAAUCAGAAAGUUCAAAUCAAAAAUCACUAUAAAUUAAAAUUUGAGCACUAAAGUGUUACGCGCCUCACAAUUUGAGAACCAAAAGAAAUAAAGAACUGCUAUUUAUACAAAAUAAUGUUCUUUAUAUGAUACCGACCGUCCCUAGAGCAAGUGGCAAAGGGCUUGAUGGUUGGUACCCGAGAUCCAAGUUCGAAUCCUAAUUGAUUCACAUUUUCCAGCUAAGUUUAUUUCUAAAUGAAAUAAACGAAGCGGGUAGCGUGCUACCUAUCUCUCUCUCAAAAAAAAAAAAAUCUUUAUAUGAUAAAAAGA